ACUCACAAAGGCAUGAACACCAAGUGACAUGAGGCUCAUGGGGACAGAGCACAGAGCCUUGGAAGCUAGCUACCACAGUCUACCCUCGUGCCCUCUGCUCUGAGCCAGGGAUGGGAGAGGGAUGGGACUUGGGGAUCUCAGGGGAGGGGAUGUGUGUAUUCUACACACGGAGGAAUAUGAAGUGUUGUGGUUGAGUGGCCUGAGACAAAGUAGUCUCCUAAGAUGGCCACAUCUACAUAUGUGUCCUACACCACAUGCUCUUCUUACAAUGUGCCUGAACUCCCCCAAGAGGUGGAAGGGGGUCUAUGCUGACUCUAAACAGGGUCCUGGAGUUCCUGUUGUGUCUCAGUGGAAAUAAAUCUGACUGGUAUCCAUGAUGAUGCAGGUUCAAUCCCUGGCCUCAUUCAGAGGGUUAAGGAUGCAGCGCUGCCAUGAGCUGGGGGGUAGGUGGCUGACACUGCUCUGAUCUGGCAUUGCUGUAGCUGUGGCAUGGGCUGGCAGCUGCAGCUCUGAUUUGACCCCUAGCCUGGGAACUACCAUAUGCUGCAAGUGUGGCCAUAAAAAGACAAAAAAAAGGAAAAAAAAGAAAAAACAAUGUCCUAUUGUAUAGCACAGGGAACUAUAUCCAAUCUCCUGGGAUAGACCAUGAUGGAAAAAACUGUUUAUAUAUGUAUCAGUGGGAGUUACUGUGAAUGUCUCUCAGGUUCAAAGAUUAUUUAUAUUAAAGGCCAAAUAUUCUGACACAGCUCAUGACUGUUGGAUGGGAAUCUAAUGGGAAAAAAAUUAGAACAAAGAUGCCAAAAGAAAAAAGAAGAUAAUAAUUUGUUGGCACAUUGCUUUUUAAGCUUGGUAUGCAGAAUUUGAAGUUUAAAAUAUAGAAAAGUAAAUAGCCAAUCAAGGAGAAAUAUGCUAUAGCUGGAAAUGAAAGGAUGAGUAGAAAGGAAGUCAUAUACUAAAACUAUCUAUAGAUUAUACUUGUAAGGCAUUUUAAUUUGUAUGCUAGCAUGAGAAGUUUUUUAACUAGGAAAAAUAUUUGUAAGAACGCAUGAGCUAAUGUGGAAUUUCUCACUAUUUUUCAUAGCAGCCAAGCUUGUGAAUGGCUAGAGAUCUCAUUUAGGUGGAGAACAGAGGCAGAUCGUGAAUGGACUGCAAAUGGAAGGAAGAGGAGUUGUAGUUUGACUCCAUGGAGAUUCAGAAAGCCUGAUAUUUGGAAAGGGCACUUAAACCUCAAGGCGGGUUGGCCAAAAUGUGCUGUAGGAUAUAAAGCAAUUGGUAUGGAAGGCCAACUUAUCCCAUAGCCUCCAAGAGAGACAAUCAACAAACUAGAAAGAUCCAGAACUAUUAUAUUGAAACUGGUGCCACUUUAACAAUCUCUGUGAACUCUGAGAAGCCAAGUAAUUUACUUAUUAUAUACUGUGGACUAUAUAAAUGAUACACAAAAAGAGUGAUAGUGAUCUCCAGAAAUACGAUGCUAAUGGUGUGGUUAGAUGCCUCCAGCCUUGCUGAUUGACAAUGGAACUGUCACCAGAAACAGGACCCCUCUCAACAGCAGUGACACUAUAUGUCACCCUGUCCCAUCCAUGGACAGUGAUAGCUCAAUGAUGCCCUCAACUGAGUUGCUGUCUUAGGAAAACUAGCCAAAACUCUGUCAAAAAAAUUAUUUUCAUUUUAGUGUUUAAAUGGUCUCUUUCUCCACAGUAACUUGGUGAACAAAUGACAUAGCCAAGGAACUGGAACUUCUCCUCCCCCUGAUUCACACCCACACGGGGCACAGAGCAGCUGAGGGUCAGUCCCCAACUGUCGGUCCUGCACCACAUCAACCCAGCCAGGGCACCCAGGUCAUUUCCUUUGUCUUGCACACACACACUCGCACACACUUAUCAAGGCUUGUGGGGAUUCAAAGUUUAGGAAAAGGGUGGGGAUUACAACAGAACAAGAAAAACAACUUAAAAUUAUAUAUGAGACAUCCCAGUUUCCAGCAUCACCCAGAUUCUAUUUAGCUAGGCAGGCAUUGGGCUCCAACAAUGUGGUUCAAAGCCCUACUUCUGUCCUGCCCCUUGGUUCCAGUCCCUCCUUCCUCUCUCCUACCACCCCAAAAGUUGUGUCCACUAAGAGACCAGGUUGCUUGCUGGUUGAAGAUGCACAGAGCUCCAGGGCUGAGAAUUCAAAAGUUCUCUUCAAAUUAUAGUUCAGACCCUUCACUUCCUGGAAGUCACAAUAAUAAUACCUGACAGUGAAGAAAUGCCUCCCAUAACCUAGGUUCAAGGUUAGGCACCACACAUACAUUAUCUCCUUUGAUCAUCUUUAAAGCCCAAUGAUAGAGACAUUUUUAUUAUGCCCAUUUUACAAGUGAUGAAACUGAGAUGCAGCAAGGUUAAACAACAUGCCCAAGACCACAGAACUACAGUGUCAAAAUCAAAUCUGAAUGUUCUUAACCACCAGGUUAUAAGUACUACUCUUGAAGUUAUUUCAUUAGCAAGCCCUCUAAAAUCAGCUCUGACAUGUUCCCUGAGCCUACUGUACAUAACUGAGCUGGGCACUUAUAAGCCAGUCUCAGACACUCCCUCAAAUCAGCACAUGAUGCCUGAAGGCCCAGCUAAGAGAAGCUGGUUGAGAACUUCUAAGCAGAGCUGGAAGCUCCCUUCAGCAAGAACUCACAGGCAUAGUUUUAUUUGAGGCCCUAGGAAUACUCUGCAACUCAGAGUAGGCACAGGUUGCCCAACAUCAUCCCUGAAAAGUCAAGGUCAAUGCUUGGAGUCACUGCCUAUUAACUAUAGUCAUCAUCCCCACAUCCCCUGAGAAGCCCUCUAACUCAAAAUAGCCAGGCUUGACUUUUGACCAGCUCACAGAAUUAACAAAGGCCCCAGAGUCUCCUCUGGUAUUACUCGAUGGCUCAGUGAGACACCCCAAGUUUACCAGGCUGACUUCUAAAUCUCCUAUCAGAGUAACAAAGGCAACAGAUACAUCUGAUCUAAUACAGUGACAUAUAGGCCAGACUUGGGUGCUCCCACAGGACCAUUUAAAAUUCCUUAGGUAUGUUACAGGUACAUGAAGCACCCUCAGUAUUAGCCCCCAAACCUGAGCCCUCCAAACCCUGACUUCAACACAGAUGUGAGGUCCCCGGGAAAUUCCAUGCACCUACAACCUGCAAUUGCACAGUCCUACUAUUGGAAUUUGGAUAAUUGUUCUUUCAAAUGUCCUUUCCCUUAAAUAUUCCAUCUUACCCACUUUGGUUCUAUAGGUGCCCUUCCUGGACCCUACUUCAUACUCUAACCACUGCUGUCUACCUUAUAUAUGCACUCCAGACUUCUAUUUUAGCCUACAGUAUAGGUGUCCAAAACACUAGUACAUACUUCUGUUUUCCACGAGGCAUUGAGAAGCCACUUUGGUAUAAAACACAAGCCAAGAAACAUGGGUAGCAGUGCCAAGGGUCUCACUAACUAGCCAGCUCAUUGACCUUUGCUGUGCUCCAGUCUCCCCUCUGGGCUAAGCAUUCUGAACGACUGCUAAGCUUCCUUCCACUCUAACUUUCCAGAUUUUCCCUCCAGUGUUUCACUGCCAUUUAAAGUUAGCAACAGCAUGUUCCCUUACUAUUCCUCUUCUGAUCUUCCUCUUAAUGGCUGGCAUUUCCAGUUUGUCCCCAAAUGUCUUAACCUUGGAGAUACCCUGAUUUUUUUGCCUAUACAACUAGCCUAACCAAGCCAAGUCCUGCUGGAUGAUAGUACUUAAAUGUGAUCCUCUAUUUCUUUGUUUCAACCUCCAUCCUGUCAUUUUUACUUGUACAUGAACUUCCAUUGUAAACAUUUCCAGUCUCGUUAAUGUAUUCUCAUUAUUCUCUUUUCCUUCCCAAUCUUCUAUAUAUAAUUAUAAAGCAACAAUCAACUCUUCCAUGUGUUAUUUGUUAUUUUUCCUUCUCAUGAGAGGCUCCCAACUGCCUCCUGCAUUGAUUUUUCACUCCUGAUUUUAUAAGCUUUCAACCAGUCCCCAAGUAUACUCAUCUCAGGUUACCUCCAGGCUCAUGUCACUUUAAGACUGUACAGAGAAAACAAUAAUAGUAAGCAACUUUCAAAAUAAUGGAUGCUGUUCCUUUCAGAUGCCUAAACUUAGAAAAGGUCAUAGAAAGUUAUUUGCUUCUUAUUAACAUCUAAUAGCUGUGUUAUUCCCAUCGGCAGAAACAAAUAAAAAAAUAGCAAUUGCAAUGUGACAGUGACAUAAACACCUGUCUGGCUAAUGAAUUCCUUGACAAGUGCAUGGUCCAAAAGAGAAAGCAAUGUCACCUUUAACACAAGUAACUUCCCAGAAUGCUGAAAUUAUACCAAGGGAGAGUAAGAUUUUUACAGCAUAAAUGAAAAAAAUAAUUAAGAAAUAAAAUAAAUUUUUAAAAAAGAAAAAAAUGUUGGGGCUGUGUCUCCAGGAACAUUAAAAUUGGAACUAUUGUAUCAUUUGGGUCUCCAUAUUUCCCAUCUUGCUCAUGAAAAAAACACAGUGCCAAUGCCCAUUAAAACUUCACAAGAACCCUCAGGUCCACUAAUUCAGGUGUGUCCCUCGCUGCACAAUAGAGUGACUUCUUUUCUAUUCCUACAACAAACUACCCAAAUAAUACAAAAAUGCAUCUUUAAGACUAAAAUUACCAGGCUAUCAAAGUUGCUAAAUAUAAUCACUAUGAAAACAGACUUUCCCAAAGCCAAUCUAUGCCAAGUAUCUUGUAGGUUCAGACUCUUGCAUUAUAAAUCACGCAUGCAGAAAGGAAGCAGAUACAGGUAGCUUUUGAAAAUUUCAAUCAGAAAGUUCCCAUUCUAGUUCAGAAGGUUAAGACCCGGACUAGUAUCCAUGAGGAUACAGAUUCCAUCUCUGGCCUCACUUAGUGAGUUAAGGAUACAGUGUUGCAAUGAGCUUCAGGUACAGGUCACAGAUGCAGCUCGGAUCUGACAUUGCUGUGGCUGUGGUGUAGGGUG
rnacentral:lncRNA from 1 species